UGGGGAAUAUUGCACAAUGGACGGAAGUUUGAUGCAGCGACGCCGCGUGGAGGGUGUAGGCUUUCGGGUUGUGAACUCCUUUUUCUCGCGAAAAAGGCACAGUUUUGGCUGUGUUGAUGGUAGUGGGGGAAGAAGCGCCGGCUAACUACGUGCCAGCAGCCGCGGUAAUACGUAGGGCGCGAGCGUUGUCCGGAUUUAUUGGGCGUAAAGAGCUCGUAGGUGGUUCGUCGCGUCUGUCGUGAAAGCCAGCAGCUUAACUGUUGGUCUGCGGUGGGUACGGGCGGGCUUGAGUGCGGUAGGGGUGACUGGAAUUCCUGGUGUAGCGGUGGAAUGCGCAGAUAUCAGGAGGAACACCGAUGGCGAAGGCGGGUCACUGGGCCGUUACUGACACUGAGGAGCGAAAGCGUGGGGAGCGAACAGG
rnacentral:rRNA from 1 species